rnacentral:lncRNA from 10 species
AGCAAUCUUAAUAUGAAAAAAACCAUGCCUGGCUCUAGGUCUCACUGAUUGACUUUUUUUUUAGGUUCCAAGGAUACUUCCUAACCUGCUUUUCAAUCACUGUUUCCAUGGAACAGGGAGCUAUCCGAAUCAACUCAGUGUAACAUGGUGGAAAUCAAGCCAUUGUUGUGGCUACCUGGAACGGGCAGGAAAGAAAAAUGCAGAUAAGAAAAUUAAAACCACAGACUCCUGGGCAGCGAACAAGAGCCUUCUGAUCCUAAUUCGAUCUGGAGUUAAGAAUGAAGGGGAUUUCUGUAGCAGUUUCUUUUGCAUAGCAGAGCUCCGACUUUUCCAGCAACAGCGUGUCCCUGGAAGCUACACAAAGUCCUCUUUGAUUGCCUGUGAUCAAAGCCACGAAGGCUCUCCUGCAACAUCUUAGCUUCAGAAAGCCAGGAAAAUCAGAAUGCUGAGAGUAUAUUAAUAAUUCCUAAACAUAUUUUUAAGGUUCUUCAGGCCUGUCUCAGAGCUAUGGAGGAUGCAGCAAAAGGGAUGCCUUUGAUCUGCUGUCUCUGGAUGCACAAGGAGCUCAGAGAAACAACCAGGACACAGAACAAAACAAAGCAUGGAGCUCUAAUUUAGGGGUUUCAGCUAAGCGAGUCACUCAGCACCAGCACUGCACAGGAGGUAGGUGAGAAAUCUGAGACCUAAGAAAUUAAGUGAUUGGCCUGUGGGAGAUUUGAAUCCGGUUUUUCUGACUCCAAAGCCUUACCUGUUUCUUCCUAACAUGUUGACUGCCUAUUCUAAGCAUAUACAGUGUUGCAAAUGUCUGACACUGUUCUAGAGCCUCAUCCUCUUUUCACCUCCAACAUGCUCUUGUUUGUGGCCUGGUCGUCAGAGUAUAUGCGCUGGGCUGGGAAACCCUCAUUGGUGGAGACAAAGUGGCAAGAGAGUAAAGGUGGCAAUUUCCAAGGGGACCUCAUUGCACAUCAGACACAAAGUGUGACUCAGGCAUGUGCCUCAACAUAUAAGCCAAGAGAGUGCCAGGCCUUUAAAUAAGAAACACUGGAUGUUUUCUGCAACUUAAAUACAAGUAAGCUUGGCGGGUAGGGAGGGAAAUUGUUGUACUGGAAUCUAACAGUGUUUUCAAACGUUCCCAUUUCACCAUUAAUGGUGGCACAUAAUCAAAUUAGCCUUUAAGAGCAAUCAUCACUCCAUGGGUGGCACCGUGGUAUGCGAAGAUGCCUCGGAGAUUUUAAUUCUCUGUAACAGCUUUCUACAAUAAAACAGUACCGAAUUUGAAAGUCAUUGAGAGUAAUUCUAGUAGGUCUUGUUUAUACACGAUCUUGCAGAGGUGUCUCAAGAGCUAGUGGCUUAGAUUGAGUCACUUUAUACAGUUAAAGCUGUAGAUAUAAGCACAGACAGAAAACUGUACCUCUGUAGAUCUGUAGAUGUCUGUCAGUGAUUCACAGCUCAUACAACGCCAAGAUUCAAAUUUCUCUUAGAAGGGCUUUUAGUAAUUCAGAUGGAAAAGACUUUCCAGACAGAUUCCAAAGGAUUAUGUUUGGGGACUGCAAAGGAAGAAUUUCCAAAAUUUUGUGGGCUUACUUUUUUAGUUUUACAACAACAUUUACCUUUCCUGUGUGAUACUUGCUGAUCACAAGGGCAAUACCCUGUCCUCGGUAAUCUAUUGUGGGCUUGCUGUUGAUGAUAAUAAGUUUCACCAUGAAGCCUGUGACUAGCCCAAGUUGUCAGAAACUCCUCAUUUCUCCGAUAAGCACUUUGCCAAGCUGGCAAAUGCCCCUAGGAGCCACAGUGCCCCUGUUGCCUGCACACUUUGGACCCUUUUCAUUAGCUUCUGACUCAUUGCACUUGCACUUAGCGCACGCUCUGAUGUGGACUUCCAGCUCAGAACCCAGGUUCUCGAACUCAUGAACGCAUUCAGCAUCCCUUGCUAUCACAACCAGCUUGACAGAAAGACCACAGGCCAAGUGCAGCAGAGUUCCAGAAAGUGAAUGCAGCAAAAUACCCUUGCUCUCUUUGAGGGUAUCAGAGCCAGGAGGGUGGCUGACUCUGAUGAUAGAACAAGAGCCAAAUAUGCUCCUGAUGCUCCAGUAGAGUGGUCUUCAGGUGAUCGAGAUUCCGAGCUCCCAAACCAAGGCAAGAAUAAGGAAACUGGAACAGGAGGGCAUGCUGGGCUCCAGCCUCCCGUGACAGUGAAACAUUGCCUUAGAAUGACUGUUGUUAAUACAAUUGAGGAAAUAUAACACGUAAUCUUGUGAUUAAGUUAUACACAAUUUGAUUUAAAUUUAGUUCCUGGCAGUUGCUAGGUUUCACUCUGGCAUACUCUCUCAGUGUGGAAGCUGCUGAUUCAGAAAGAGAUGUUCCAAAGCUCAUGUAUUUCCUGGACACAUCCAAGUACUGAAUAAAAUGCUGGUUAAAUAAAUGAGUUAAUUUUCCAAGAAAGACACCAAUUACUUUUAGAUUCUUUUGCUUUCUUAAGCAGAUGUGUACACAUUCGGAAACAUAAUUGGAGGGAGGAUAGAAUGGGGGAAAACAUGGAACUGCUGGGAGCUCAGUCAGAGACUGAAGAUGAUGCAGAGACUUAUUGAGAGGACCACAUUGGGUGCCUGGAAACUGGAAGAACAAGACACUUGGACUCCUAUUUUUUCACAAGUUGGUAGGAUGGGGACAGAAGCAUGGGAGGUGAAAAC